ACAUCCUGACCCCUUCUGCUCUCCAGAACUGCCUGAUCCAUCCUGAUGCCCUACUUCUGGUUGGAGUUCUCAUCACUUGGAAAUCACUUGCUGCUGCUGAGGAUGGCCCCACAUGGACAGCCUUAAGAUACAUGAGAUUACUGUGUAUGGUACCACUUAAAAACCAUGAAGAUGGUUUUGGACUGCAAUUGAUACAAACAGUUUUGCACUCAAGUCUCUAUCAGUGAACAGUUGAUAAUUUCAACAAAAUAGUCUUCAUGUUAAAACUAUAAUGAAUUUCCUGGUUACACAAUUGCACUUUUUGACCAUGUAGUACACAGUUAUAAAAAGGAAUUGUUUAUAAUUGCACUAUCCAUUGUCACCCAGAUGAGGAUGGGUUCCCUUUUCAGUCUGGUUUCUCUCAAGGUUUCUUCCUCAUAUAGUCUCAGCGGUUUUUCCUUGCUACUCUCACCUCUGGCUUGCUCAUUAGCCAAGCCGAUAGACUCUUACGCAAAAAGAAUAAGUGUUGUAAUAACAUCAGAAGGUGCUUCAACAAAUUAUUAAUUUAGGGGUGUGCACACUUACAAUAACAAUAGCCUGGGUUCACAUAGAGGUGUGAACCCAGGUUACUGUAAGUUUUUUAUUUUUCUUUUUUUUCCCCUAAAAUGCUUCAGAUUCAGUUUUUUCACUUCAUUUUUAUAUGUUCUAUUAUAUAUUCUAUUAUAUAUUCUAUUAUAUAUUCUAUUAUAUAUUCACACUAUAUAUGCAAUUUCACUUUUAAGGUGGAAAAUGUUCUGACAUGAUUUAUCUUGGUUUCUUUUUUUACAAUCACAAAACUCUGCCAAACAGAGAUGUGUAGACUUUUCAUAUCUAAUGUAGACUUUACCAUGUAUAAUAAAAAUACUCAGUGGUUUCUAGGAUUUACUACGUGUCUUCCUAAAGAGCAAGUUUAGCAAUCUAGUGUAACUUUAAGUUUUUAAACCUUAAACUUAGGGAGUCAGUUCCAUUGGCAGCCUUCCCAUCAUUCUGGUACAAGUUGAUCUUUGUCUCAUCUGUCCAAUGUACAAUGUAUUAACAUAUUAACACAUAUUUGCUAACAAGGGAUAGUCUGAAUGUCAGAAGAGAACCAAAACACAGGACUGGACAGCACACUGGAGCUUCACCUUGCAUUUAUGUUUUGUCCAUCCCUGCUGAUACAAUAAUAAUGUUAAUAAAAGCUGCUAAAGGCUUAGGGCCAGCCAGGCAACAUAGCAGUUCACCAGGGUCCUUAUCAUCGACACAUGCUAUUUGUUCGAUACCAGUGAUCCUGACCCCUUCUGCUCUCCAGAACUGCCUGAUCCAUCCUGAUGCCCUACUUCUGGUUGGAGUUCUCAUCUCUUGAAAACCACUCACUGCUGCUGAGGAUGGCCCCAUACUGACAGCCUAAAGAUCAAUGAGAUUACUGUGUAUGGUACCACUUAGAAACCAUGAAGAUGGCUUACGACUGCAAUUGCUAUGAACAGUUUUGCAUUCAAGCUUCCAUCAUUGAACAGUUGAUAAUUUCAACAAAAUAGUCUUCAUGUUAAAACUAUAAUGAAUUCAGAAAUAACUCGAUGCUUAUAUUCAUAAGUUGCUCAUAAGUUCCUGAUUACACAAUUGCACAUUUGCAUAUAUAGUACAGAGUUAUAGAAGGUAAAUUAUUUACAAUUUCACUAUUAUGUGUCACCCAGAUGAGGAUGGGUUCCCUUUUGAGUCUGGUUCCUCUCAAGGUUUCUUCCUCAUAUUGUCUCAGAGAGUUUUUUUCCUUGUGACUGUUGCCCCUGGGGAUUCAUUUAUAAGUUUAUUUAUAUCUUAAAGCUGCUUUGGGACAAUGGUCAUUGUUAAAAGCACUAUACAAAUAAAACUGAACUGAAAUGAAUUGAAUUGAAGAUGGGUUAAGGGGUUAAAGGGUUGUUUGCGCUUAGAGCAGUGAUAGCUUACACGGUCCCAUAUUAUUUCAUUAUUUAGGAUUGUUUUCACUACCCAGCAGUUAUCUAAGCCCAACAACCCUUUAAAUGUUCCAUCUGUUAUUUUAUUUAACAGUUUUUACUGAUUGCUUAUACACUGUAUUUUACACUACUGUUUCUCAAUAAAGCUGCCCUGCUGAUGUUAAAUCUGCAAAGCUUGCACAGAAUUGACAUUGCAGGAAAAAAAAAACAA